UGAAAUGCUGAAAGGCUUUGCAUUCCAAGUCAUUUUAAAAGAAUGAAAAAUAAAAUCAUUUGGAGGAUCUGGAUCUCCCUCAUGUUUUAGCUUUCAAAUCCAGAAUUCUGAUGUCUGAGAGAUGUAAUAAAUCAAAAGCAUUCACCAGGUUACAGACAUUUCUGAAUAUGAAGUAGUUUAUUAUUAGAAAAAAAAAAAACAAAACAAAAGAAAGCUGCCACUAAAUCCUGCAAGUGAUUAAAAAUGGUCAUUAAGAGCAUUUGCAAAUAUUUAUCUUAGCUUAAGUUAGAUGGGCACAAUUCUGACUGAGACAUGAUUUUUUCCCCCUUUUAGCUGCAUUACUAAGCCAGCUAUGAAUAGCAAUGUUUUCAUUUUUUAAGAAACAUUCUCUCUUCUCAGUUUCAGCUCUCUCCUGUUGGAAUUUGACCUGCAGUACUUGGAAAAAAAAAAUCAAACAGAAAAAAGAAAACCUUGGGAAUUAUAUUCUCUUCGGCAAAAUGUCGUGGAACAAGGCUAUGGAGCACGUCUUUCCUUCUGGAUGCUCUCAGCAAUGUUGGGAAUGUCUUCGGAGUUGGGAUUUGGACCUGGACCCCCCGCCACCCCUUGGGCGUGUACAUCAGGCUAUGGCAGGCUUAUGGCCAUACCACUAAAUGUGAACUUUAUUGUCAGCACUGGAAAUGUGGGCCCUAUCACAAGGCCCACAUUAGGAGGCACCUGGCUAAUUGCUGCACAAUUAAUUCAGGUCUGAUUCAGUCUUACAGUUUUGAUGUCUCAAAUAAAGGUCAGCACCUUAACAAGGAGCACAUUCACAAGUGGAUGAGACAAGCAGGGGCUGGAGAAGACAUCUGCCUCCAAACUCCUGAUGGACCUCAAGGACCUGUGUCUGCUUUCCUAGGACUGCAAGCAGCGUGGCACGAGAUACAUAUUUCCCUGUCUCUACAAGGCCUUUUUAUUUGGUCUGGAUACACAUCUGAGACUACAUGAACUUCCAUCAUUUCACUUGGGAAAAUUUCUGAUAGUUGGGCAAAACUUUCUUGGAAAAAGACGAAGAAACUCAGAGAACAAGCAGAAAUAUUGGAUGGCAGAUGUACAUCCACCCUGAUCAUCAUGGAAAUAUGCACUGAGCUGCAUCCUUAUUUCCAAGUGUGGAUAUUGCACAGCCAAACACUGAUUUUCUGAGAGGCUUCACCACCUAUUUUACCAAUCCUGGGUCGGAGAGCCCUUGAGAUAAACAUGAGAGGUGUAGUCACAGAGAAAAUGGAAAAUCAAGACACAGUUUCCUCUCCAGAAGUUCACCAACAGCAAGGAUUACCAAGAAGCUGGAGCAUCCCAGAGGAAGAAGCACCCACUCCUUGGCACUGCAGUGGGUCCCCCUUUCCUGGUGCUCUCCUCAGGAACUACCCUGGUUCCAAGCACCACCUUGGCUGUGUGUCUGUAUUGAGCCAUAUCCCAGGAGCUGAGAGGAGCCUGGCCAGCACCACACAUGAUCAGAAAUAGAAAUCCUGAGCUCAGCCAGCAGUGAUGGAAGAGUUUUGGCUGGAUGGUGCACAAAAAGCUUUGUGCAGUCACAGACAGUGGAGUUGACCUUCAAACCAUAACACUUUUAAAUAUCUGUGAAUAUACAAGGUUAAAUCUAUUAGUGGUCUGAGAUUAGCUGUUCUGCACUUGCAAAGUGUCUACCUUCUGCAGCAAAUUUUAUCUUCUGCUGAAUGAUAACGAGCUUACAUCCACCCCACGAGUUUUCAACAAAUAAUGGGAUAUGUGUUUUCACUGGGACCGCCUUCGCUUUCUCAACUCCUCACUGGGAGCUGCCUCUCCUACCCACUGACUAAAUCAGCUCCUGGCUGCUCCCUGCCAGCUAAGGCACAGAGGCUGCCAAAAAGCUUCCUGCUCAAAGAUCUCUGCAUCCUCUCUGUGCCACGGGCCAUCAGCCUGCAGCUCCAGUGUUUUUCACAGAACAGCGGCAUGGGACGAUGUCAUGCUCUGAGCUGAGCGCCAAGACUGAGCCAGAAGGGUUGGGAAGAGGAGGAGCAGCCCUCACACCUGGAAUUGCGAGGUGGGAUCCGAACACAGAGCUUCCUUCGUGUGCAUUCUGCGGGGUGCCAGCUCAUGGCGCUGCCGUUGGACAGCGUUCACUCGGUAAAGGAGCGUGAAAAAUAAAGCUGCCAGAGGCCACUAAAGAACAUAUGAUGGAAACAAACUGAGUCACCACCAGUGGGGCUGACAUUGUUGGUGGAAACUGGGACACCAGCGUGAGCCAUUGUUCGCUGCACCUCGUCUGGUUUAUGUAGCUGGCUGAGUUGAAAGCUGGAUCGGCGCUAACCUUGGGCUUGGAGGGGAAUUGGUGCCAUGUGGUUUCAAUUGUCCAUGGAUGCUUUCAGCUCCUACUGCCAGUAACGAGCUGUCCUCCAGGUCCUCCCACAGCCGUGGUGUUGUCCCAGCUCACCCUGAUGGGGCUGUGGUGAGCACUGCUUCCUGAUGUGGUCCCUUUCAGCAGGAGCUGCUCUGCAGUCUGCUGGGAGAGAGGGUUUAUUCACUCUUCCCUCUGUCCCAGCAGCUGCAGAGAAGUUUUCCCUGAAUACAUUUUGCUGUGCAAAAGGGUUUUUUUUUUCUUUUUUGAGCUGGUUUCUUUCCUGACUUGGUGUGACGCUGCCCAUGGUGCAGUUGUGGGAACAUCUGAGGCUGUGAGCUGUUCUCUUGUGCUCUUUUCAUUUGAAGGUUCUGCAGAGUGAGGCUCGUACUGGUUUCACCACCUAUUUCCUGGUGCACACAGUUCUUGUCUGGGAGUGGUUUUUGUGGACAUGGGGGUGAUGAGACCCACAAAAAUAAUGAGAAACCACUUCAACCACCACCAAAUUAUGCCCGAGGCAAACUGCAACGGCUUUGUGACAGUGUCACCAUGCUAUCUUUGUGACAGAGAUGGAGAUAAUGAGAAUUAAUUAAUCGGUCUUUGAUUAAAAAAAAAGAGGAGGGGGAAAUCCUUGUGCUGUGAUUCCGCUACAAAAAAACAUGAAACUGGUGAGGUUUUUGUUUGAUGUUACUUCUCAAAAGUAGGACAGGCUUUUGUAAUGCAGAGCUGAGGGUUUCAUGGCUGCUGGCUUGGUUACCCAUCACUGAUGGACCACAGGGGCAAGAGAUCCUCACUUUGUAGUAAAACAUGUUCAACACUAACACCACAGUACUGAUGGAGAUGUUUUUACUCUCACAGUGCAAAAAACUGUCUCUUAUUCAAAGAUCUUGCAAGUCCCAGGUACAAUCUUGUUGGCUGGAGUCAACCCUGCCUUCUUUACAGUCCUGGGGGUGAAAUUUUGUCUUGUAGUCUUUAGACUGAUGGCUGAACCUUAGAAAUUGAUCUCUUAUGAUAAAACAUGAACUACAUGGUGCCAGUGUCUGACUGGAAUUACAAUUAUCUAAGUAGAUUCAUUUGUAUCCCUUUCAUAGCAGCUUUUCUCUAGGCACAAGAUUUUUCUGUGGGGCAUGGGAAGAACUAAAUUAAUCUUAUAAAGAGGAAGGGGUUUACACUGAAAUCGAUAGUUACAGAAUUAACUGGGUAAAUGACUUUUUCUUAAUUCUUUCUCUUCUCAGAAGAUGAAGUUUUGAUGGGUACACAAAUCCAAUGGCUGCCAAAAAGCUGAUAUCACAUGAAAUAUUUCAUCUCAGCUGCGCUGAGCAAGUCUAGACUUUGGAAUCAGUGAAAACUGAGAGUGUAAAAAAUGUCAGUGUUGAAGCAGGGAAAAAUGCCCUAUUCUGGUUAUUAACUGUGAGUAACAAAUGAAGUUAUGUUUUCAAAAGAAGUUGUCACUUCAGAAAGAGCUACGUGGCUCUCCUGGGCAGUUUUAAGGAUAAGCCAUAUAUGCAGUUUUAAGCUUGGAUUUAGGUAGUUCACCAACACAGGGUGUUUGUAUUAUUUCAAAGAAGCAAAGCAGUGGAUUACACAGGCACAAGCAGUAGGUUGAAAUUUUUGAUGCAGGCUUAGUGGCUGGUUUGAUCUGCAAACCCCAGGGCCCAAUUCCCAAGCCAAGCUCAUUUCCCCCUGUGUGCCUUCAGUGCCCACUGCUCUCAGAGUCUCACUUUCAGCCAGGUGGAAACAAUCUUUUAAUUUUUCUCACCACCAAGCCUUCAACUUAACUUCAGCUGUUCUUCAGCUGCAUUUAGGGGAUGCAACCCCAAAGAUGCUGCAGGUUUCCCAGCCCAGCCAUAGCACUUCUGUGUAAUGACAGUGGUAAAACCUUCUCACAUGCAGUUCCAGAAAUGAAUUGUACCAAGAGCAUCUAUAAAAGCUGCAGCAUCCCUGCAAAGAGCACAUAAUGUCAUCAUUUUUCAGUGGGUAUCUUCUCUAAAGGCAAAUAAUCACUUUUCCCAUUAAUGGUUGGACUGAAACUUUUCCCUUCAUUCCGAUUUCAGCAAAGGUUAGGGGCAGAACAUUUAACAUGUGUAUGGGGAUGCUACAGGGUGACUCAUGUGGCUUCCCACUGCAAAUGGUGAAGGCAAUAUACUACCUAGGAAAUUUUUUUUCCCCUCUCUAUCCUGGGGACUAUUUUCAUUUUUACUUUUCCCUUUCACUCAUUACUCCAGAAAUUUUUACAAGGGCAUACAGUGACAGGACAAGGGGGAAGAGUUUUUAACUAAAAGAGGGGAGGUUUAGGUUUGAUGUUGGGAGGAAAUUUUUUUGCUCAAAGGUUUGUGAGGCCCUGGCCCAGCUUGCCCAGAGCAGCACUGUCUGCCUCUGGAUCCCUGGAAGUGUCCAAGGCCAGGUUGGAUGGGGCUUGGAGCAACCUGGGACAGUGGAAGGUGUCCCUGCCCUUGGCAAGGGGAUGGAAUGAGAUUAUCUUUGACAUCUCUUCCACCCCCAAACCAUUAAGGCUUCUUCUGUGAUUCUAUGAAAUUUGGUUCAUCCUCUAAAGAUGUUUUGCCUCCUACCAGCUUCUCAGACUCCUCUCUGCUGGGCACAAACCAUGGUGGCACCAGCUCCUGGCUUACAUCAGGUUCAGUGAAUAAUUUACACCAAAACCAGUGUCAGCAUUGGAGUGUCCUUUCUCAAAGUGCUGUUAACCACCUUCAUUCAGAGAUACCACAGAUUAAUGCUGCUGUGAUGAGCAAAGGAAAUAUUUCAGCAGUGAACCUUUCAACCACGUGCUCUCAGUUUAAAACCACACAUAUUUUGCCCAAGUCUAUCUAACCUGUGCACUCACAGAGUUGCAGAAACUUAAAUUAUAAACACACAUGUGUUAAUGCCAGCUAUCAACCUGCUCCAGGACCAUCAUGUUUGAUUUCAUAUAUUGUGCACUAAACCUCUGUAGGACAGAUGUUCUGCUAGGGGGAAUCCAGAUGUAGUAUCAACACCUGGCUUGCACUGGCUCCCACGGUGGGUUCUUGGAUUAACAUCUGAGACACCCACGACAUACCUGUCCCUCAUUCUGAAUAUGCCUUUUGCAUUUGGGGACUUCCCCCUGGAUUUCUUCCACUUGUUCACAUAGGAAUGUCAAACCCUGGCGUCUAAAUCCCAGGUCAGGGUUAAAAACUUCAAUUCCAAGCUGUCCCUUUAUGCUGUCUGCUCACAAGCACCAGGUCACUGUUGCAAACUCUUUCCUUAUUUGUUUCCAAGGAGCAAUCAGAAUCAGAGUCCUGAAUACUCCAGGUUUUAUGUUGGAUGUUUCUCUCUAAUUUGCAAUUGGCCUUUAAUUUGUCUAAUUUGUCAUUGGCCCCAAUUAGCAGCAAGCUCCUGUCUCAGAUGCAGCUUGUAUCCAUCUAGGAAUUGUUUGGGAGAACCUUCACCAUCUUGAGGACCAAGGGCCAAGUUCAAUUCUCUUUGUGCUACAUGUUAGCAACUCUUAAAGUUAAGACCACUGGGAACAUUUAAAUGCAUUUAGUUAUUUCCAGGCUCAUAAUUUCACUGUAAAACUUUGCUUUUAAUGCAUUCUUCCCUGUCCAAUAAAUUCACUUGUGUACAAGUUCUGAUCUCAAAUCAAAGUUUUAAUUUACUCUUUUUUGUUUGUCAAAGAAUAUGAUUCUGCUUUUCAUUGCCCUGUGCUUUAAAAAAUUACUUGUGUGUACUCCUUGCUACGAUUUAGGGUAUUUAUGAAUGGUUCUACAUAAAAGGAAUGAAAAUAACUAAUUAUAAUAAUACCACUAAAAGCCAUGGCUGGCUAGAAAGUGGAAAUCC